UUCCGGUUGAUCCUGUCCGGAGGCCACUGCUAUUGGAGUUCGACUAAGCCAUGCGAGUUCAGGGGGGCUUUGCCCACCAGCGGACGGCUCAGUAACACGUGGACAACCUGCCCUCAGGAGAGGGAUAACCCCUGGAAACUGGGGCUAAACCCUCAUAGGUUAUAGUUGCUGGAAGGCUUUGUAGCUGAAAUUCCGCAAGGAGCCUGAGGAUGGGUCUGCGACCUAUCAGGUUGUAGUGGGGGUAAUGGCCCCACUAGCCUACGACGGGUACGGGCCCUGAGAGGGGGAGCCCGGAGAUGGACUCUGAGACACGAGUCCAGGCCCUACGGGGCGCAGCAGGCGCGAAACCUUCGCAAUACGGGAAACCGUGACGAGGGGACUCCAAGUGCCUACGUUCAGCGUAGGCUGUUCUUGAGCCUAGAAAGCUUUGGGAGUAAGGGCUGGGUAAGACGGGUGCCAGCCGCCGCGGUAAUACCCGCAGCCCAAGUGGUGGCCGCUUUUAUUGGGCCUAAAGCGUCCGUAGCCGGCCCGGUAAAUGCUUGGGUAAAUCAUGAGGCCUAACUUCACGAAUUCCGAGUAGACUACCGGGCUCGGGACCGGAUGAGGGAGAGAGUACUUCAGGGGUAGGGGUGAAAUCCUGUAAUCCUUGGAGGACUACCGGUGGCGAAGGCGCUCUCCUAAUACGGGUCCGACGGUGAGGGACGAAAGCCAGGGGAGCAAACCGGAUUAGAUACCCGGGUAGUCCUGGCCGUAAACGAUGUGGGCUUGGUAUUUGAAUGGUCAUGAGCCAUUCAAGUGCCGUAGGGAAUCCGUUAAGCCCACCGCCUGGGAGUACUGGUCGCAAGGCAUGAACUUAAAGGAAUUGGCGGGGGAGCA
rnacentral:rRNA from 1 species